UACGGAGGGGGCUAGCGUUGUUCGGAAUUACUGGGCGUAAAGCGCACGUAGGCGGCUUUGCAAGUUAGAGGUGAAAGCCCGGGGCUCAACUCCGGAAUUGCCUUUAAAACUGCAUCGCUAGAAUUGUGGAGAGGUAAGUGGAAUUCCGAGUGUAGAGGUGAAAUUCGUAGAUAUUCGGAAGAACACCAGUGGCGAAGGCGACACACUGGCCCGUUACUGACGCUGAGGCGCGAAAGCGUGGGGAGCAAACAGG
rnacentral:rRNA from 1 species